ACAGCAGGAAAGAGCUAAAAUUGGAGCAGUGGCUGUCAGACAGCAGAAGUAAAGAUCCGGAGCAGCUGAUUGGGCGUCGUUAUCCAGUGAGAAUCGGCAUUCUUGGAAUUUCUAAAGAUGGUGUCGGGCAGCCAGAUCAGACCGACCAUGUUGCUGUUUGAAAAAGAGGCAAAUUGAUAGAGAGAGAGAGAAAAGAAGGGUCACCCUGGAGCCUAUCCCAGCCGACAUAGGGCAAGAGGUGGGGUACACCCUGGAAAGACAGUCCAGUCUGUUGCACGGCUAACACAGAGAGACACUCCCAUUCACACCUAUGGGCAAUUUAGAAUCACCAGUUAACCUAACCCCAGUAACUGGAUGUCUUUGGACUGUGGGAGGAAGCCAGGGUAACAGAGAGAACCCACACAGAAAGGCCCUGGGUGGAUGGUGGAUUCGAACCCAGGACCUUCUUGUUGUGAAGCAACAGUACUAUCCACCGUCCUGCCCUGGCUGCUAUUAUUGGUUUAUUAAUACAGUGAAACUCGUGUUUGCAUCUUAGCAAUGGGAAAAGGAGUCAAAUUUACAGCCACCCUAGAAGCUAGUUUGGGCUACAGUAGAUGGUCAAUUCAGCUGUUCUCACAUAGUAUACCCUGCUACUGAAACUCAUGUGCUUAUACCAGCACUGCUUUGCUCACUCAUUUCCUAAAUUUCCCUCCUUUUCUCACUGAAAACUAUGCUUGUUGCUGUUCGUGCAUCAUUUCUUUGGCGCCACCUCCGCCCCCACAUCUGAGUAUAGCCUGCAUUCGCCUUCAGGGAAGAGUUGUUACUGUCGCUCCCCACUCACUGUCUUCAUGUCCAUUUUGAGGGUGGCAGACUGGGAGAAUAAGUGUGGGCUAGGCACUGUCAUUCCGUACAUGGAAGUAACAACAGUGAGUGGGUGAGGAUGGCAGUAAACUACAAUGUCAGAGCCUAAACUCACUCUUUCCCUCCCCAUACACAUGAAAUCAUGAUGGUACAUGCCAACAUUAAAACUUAUACUUCACUCCUUAAUCUUUUGCUCCCCACAAGGAAGUAAAAAACAUGGACUGGUUAUUGUAAACUACGAUGUCAGAUCCAAACUUCUUACUAUCUGAUUGCUGAGAAGAAAGCGAUUAUGUUUCAUGGAAUCUGGCUCACUGAAAUGUUUUUAAUGUUGAUUUUGUACUGUACAAGAACAAUUAUUUUAAUGACUACUACUAGGCUUCAUUUUAUUUUUUUAAAUUACUUCUUUUUUUCCCCACACAGAAAGUGAAUUAUCAGACCUAUUAAGCAGAUUCGUUUUUGUAUCAAUGAAAUCAAUAAAGUAUCUAGGAGAUUUCACAUUUAAUUGCUAAUUAAAUGAAUUAAU